rnacentral:rRNA from 1 species
CCUACGGGAGGCAGCAGUGGGGGAUAUUGCACAAUGGGGGGAACCCUGAUGCAGCGACGCCGCGUGGGUGAAGGAGUGCUUCGGUAUGUAAAGCCCUAUCGGCAGGGAAGAAGCAAGACGGUACCUGACUAAGAAGCCCCGGCUAACUACGUGCCAGCAGCCGCGGUAAUACGUAGGGGGCGAGCGUUAUCCGGAUUCACUGGGUGUAAAGGGAGCGUAGACGGCCAAGCAAGCCAGGGGUGAAAGCCCGGGGCCCAACCCCGGGACUGCCCUUGGAACUGCAUGGCUGGAGUGCGGGAGGGGCAGGCGGAAGUCCUGGUGUAGCGGUGAAAUGCGUAGAUAUCAGGAGGAACACCGGCGGCGAAGGCGGCCUGCUGGACCGCGACUGACGUUGAGGCUCGAAAGCGUGGGGAGCGAACAGGAUUAGAUACCCUUGUAGUC